rnacentral:rRNA from 1 species
CCUACGGGUGGCAGCAGUGAGGAAUAUUGGUCAAUGGGCGCGAGCCUGAACCAGCCAAGUAGCGUGAAGGAUGAAUGCCCUACGGGUUGUAACCUUCUUUUAUAAAGGAAUAAAGUGAGGCACGUGUGCCUUUUUGUAUGUACUUUAUGAAUAAGGAUCGGCUAACUCCGUGUCAGCAGCCGCGGUAAUACGGAGGAUCCGAGAGUUAGCCGGAUUUUUUGGGAUUAAAGGGAUCGUAGAUGGGUUGUUAAGUCAGUUGUGUAAGGUGGCGGCUCAACCGUAAAAAUGCCAUUGAUACUGGCAGUCUUGAUUACAGUGGAGGAAGGCGGAAUUCGGGGU